UGAAUUGCAGAAUCCCGUGAACCAUCGAGUCUUUGAACGCAAGUUGCGCCUGAAGCCAUUAGGCUAAGGGCACGUCUGCCUGGGCGUCACGCAUCGCAUCACCCCUUCCCCCAUACUGGUGGUCGGGGUG
rnacentral:rRNA from 1 species